GACGUAGGGCGCGAGCGUUGUCCGGAUUUAUUGGGCGUAAAGAGCUCGUAGGCGGCUUGUCGCGUCGACUGUGAAAUCCCGAGGCUCAACUUCGGGCUUGCAGUCGAUACGGGCAGGCUAGAGUUCGGUAGGGGAGACUGGAAUUCCUGGUGUAGCGGUGAAAUGCGCAGAUAUCAGGAGGAACACCGAUGGCGAAGGCAGGUCUCUGGGCCGAUACUGACGCUGAGGAGCGAAAGCGUGGGGAGCGAACAGG
rnacentral:rRNA from 2 species